rnacentral:tRNA from 1 species
UUAAGGGCAGUAUGAAACAUACACUUUUUUUACAAAAAAGAGAUGGUUAUCCUCCUUGAU